rnacentral:rRNA from 1 species
AUUGAACGCUGGCGGCAGGCCUAACACAUGCAAGUCGAACGGAUCCUUCGGGAUUAGCGGCGGACGGGUGAGUAACACGUGGGAACGUGCCCUUUGGUUCGGAACAACUCAGGGAAACUUGAGCUAAUACCGGAUGUGCCCUUCGGGGGAAAGAUUUAUCGCCAUUGGAGCGGCCCGCGUCUGAUUAGCUAGUUGGUGAGGUAAAGGCUCACCAAGGCGACGAUCAGUAGCUGGUCUGAGAGGAUGAUCAGCCACAUUGGGACUGAGACACGGCCCAAACUCCUACGGGAGGCAGCAGUGGGGAAUCUUGCGCAAUGGGCGAAAGCCUGACGCAGCCAUGCCGCGUGAAUGACGAAGGUCUUAGGAUUGUAAAAUUCUUUCACCGGGGACGAUAAUGACGGUACCCGGAGAAGAAGCCCCGGCUAACUUCGUGCCAGCCGCCGCCGUAAAAC